UACGGGGGGAGCAAGCGUUGUUCGGAUUUACUGGGCGUAAAGGGCGCGUGGGCGGUCAGCACAAGUCAGUUGUGAAAUCUCCGGGCUUAACCCGGAAAGGUCAACUGAUACUGUGCGACUAGAGUGCGGAAGGGGCAACUGGAAUUCUCGGUGUAGCGGUGAAAUGCGUAGAUAUCGAGAGGAACACCUGCGGCGAAGGCGGGUUGCUGGGCUGAUACUGACGCUGAGGCGCGAAAGCCAGGGGAGCGAACGGG
rnacentral:rRNA from 1 species